rnacentral:ncRNA from 1 species
AUCUAAUACCCAAUUGUAGAAAGCUCAGAAGCGUUUAAGCUUAUUAAAUAUAAGUUUGGUAAAUAAAAGAAUUACUAAAGUGAUUAUAGCUGUAGUUUAAACACAUGGUCAGUAUAAAAAAGUGCCAGCAUACGCGGUCAUACUUUUUGAUCCUUGAGCUGUUCAGUAUGUUUAUAUUAGUAAUUAAAUUGGUAUAAGUUUUAUAUAAGUUGGUAGAAUGAUUAUAUAAGUUUUAAUCAAUAUAUGAAAUAUAAUAAACCGUAUACAUAAACUAGGAUUAGAUACCCUACUAUUCACGAAUAUUAACAGCAUAUGGAUUAAAAUUUACAAGUUUGAAAAAUUUAAUUGGGUGGCAAUUUAAAGUCAUAAUAGAGGAAUAUGUUUAUUAAUCGAUAUUACACGAACAUCUUACCUUUUAUUGAAUUAUCAUUUCAUACACCUCCGUCUGAAGAGUUUAUAUAAAGCUCUAAAACCUACAAGGUUGUAAGUCAGGUCAAGGCAUGGACUAUUAAAAGGAUUAAAUGUAUUCUAUUUUUUAAGUCAGGUUUAUUCUUGUAAAAGAAUAAUUAAGAAAAAUUUAUAAGUAAUAUUUUAUAAUUAAAAGAAUAUGAAUAAGUAACUUUACAUGUACAGAUUGCCCGUCACUCCUUAUAGGAUAAGUCGUAACAUAGUUAGCCUACCGGAAGGUAGGCUAAGUU